rnacentral:rRNA from 1 species
CGGGUGAGCAACACGUGAGAAUCUGCCCUUUAGUGAAGAAUACCUUCGAGAAAUCGAAGUUAAUACUGCAUACGUUCCCUCGGGAAGAAAGGUGGCUUUAUGCUACCGCUAAAGGAUGAGCUCGCGCGCUAUUACGCUAGUUGGUAGGGUAAAGGCCUACCAAGGCUAUGAUGGCUAACCGGCCUGAGAGGGUGUACGGUCACAUUGGAACUGAGAAACGGUCCAGACUCCUACGGGAGGCAGCAGUGAGGAAUAUUGCGCAAUGGGCGAAAGCCUGACGCAGCGACGCCGCGUGAAGGAUGAAGGUCUUCGGAUUGUAAACUUCUGUUAAGCGGGAAGAAAUCUCGGCUUUGAACAAAAGCCGGGUCUGACGGUACCGCUAGAGAAAGCACUGGCUAACCUCGUGCCAGCAGCCGCGGUAAUACGAGGGGUGCAAACGUUAUUCGGAUUUAUUGGGUGUAAAGGGCGCGUAGACGGUGCGUUAAGUUUGUUGUUAAAUCUCCUGGCCUAACUGGGAGUUUGCAAUGAAAACUGGCGUGCUCGAGUGUGGAAGAGAGAAGUGGAAUUCUCGGAGUAGCGGUAAAAUGCGUAGAUCUCGAGAGGAAC